rnacentral:tRNA from 1 species
ACUCUUUUAGUAUUAAUAAGUACGUCUGACUUCCAAUCAGCUAGCCUUGGUUAAACCCAAGAAAGAGUA